CUGGCCUUGAAGACGUUGACUCU
rnacentral:snRNA from 1 species